rnacentral:rRNA from 1 species
AUUGAACGCUGGCGGCAUGCCUUACACAUGCAAGUCGAACGGCAGCACGGGAGCAAUCCUGGUGGCGAGUGGCGAACGGGUGAGUAAAGUAUCGGAACGUGCCCAGUCGUGGGGGAUAACGUAGCGAAAGUUACGCUAAUACCGCAUACGAUCUAUGGAUGAAAGCGGGGGAUCGCAAGACCUCGCGCGAUUGGAGCGGCCGAUAUCAGAUUAGGUAGUUGGUGGGGUAAAGGCUCACCAAGCCGACGAUCUGUAGCUGGUCUGAGGGGACGACCAGCCACACUGGGACGGAGACACGGCCCAGACUCCUCCGGGAGGCAGCAGUGGGGAAUUUUGGACAAUGGGCGAAAGCCUGAUCCAGCCAUGCCGCGGGCAGGAUGAAGGCCUUCGGGUUGUAAACUGCUUUUGUACGGAACGAAAAGGUUUGGCCUAAUAAGCUGAGCUCAUGACGGUACCGUAAGAAUAAGCACCGGCUAACUACGUGCCAGCCGCCGCCGUAA